UACGGAGGGUGCAAGCGUUAAUCGGAAUUACUGGGCGUAAAGCGUGCGCAGGCGGUUUGUUAAGUCUGCUGUGAAAUCCCCGAGCUCAACUUGGGAAUUGCAGUGGAUACUGGCAGGCUGGAGUAUGGUAGAGGAAGGUGGAAUUCCCGGUGUAGCAGUGAAAUGCGUAGAGAUCGGGAGGAACACCAGUGGCGAAGGCGGCCUUCUGGACCAAUACUGACGCUCAUGCACGAAAGCGUGGGGAGCAAACAGG
rnacentral:rRNA from 1 species